rnacentral:rRNA from 1 species
GACAGAGGCCCCGAGCGUUAGGCGGAAUCACUGGGCUUAAAGCGUGUGUAGGCGGAUCGUUAAGUGUCUUGUGAAAUCCCACGGCUCACCCGUGGAACUGCUGGGCAUACUGGCGAUCUUGGGCCGUUCAGGGGCGACUGGAACAAGCGGUGGAGCGGUGAAAUGCGUAGAUAUCGGGAAGAACACCCGUGGCGAAGGCGGCUCUCUGGGACGGUACUGACGCUGAGACGCGAAAGCGUGGGGAGCGAACAGG